rnacentral:tmRNA from 1 species
GGGGGCGAUACGGUUUCGACGGGAAUUCUGAGAUCGAAGGUUGCAUGUCGUGGACAUCACUAUCACGUUAAACAGUGGUAAAAAAAUAAAAGCUAACGAUUACGAUUACGCUUUAGCGGCUUAAACCCCGCUCCGCUUAGACCGUGGAUGCCUGUUAGACGGUCGGGCGUAAACAAACAGGCUGGUGAGGUGAGUUCUUUGGUUGGCUCUCUCAUAAGACUUAAACCGAUAGUCAUGACUGAAUUCGUCUUCUGAUGCUUUCAUGGUGAAAUUAAAGAGAAGACUAAACAUGUAGUAGCUUUCCUUUGACGGUUUUCGGACGCGGGUUCGACUCCCGCCGCCUCCACCA